ensembl:lncRNA
CGUAAAACGGCAGCCAUCUCCUCCGGGCGCCAGAUGUUUGUCUGAUGUAAUUGAUCUAGAGAUGGGGGGUGAGCAGGUGGGUCUGGGCAGGUGUGAUGUAGUUGAUCUAGAGAUGUGGGGUGAGCAGGUGGGUCUGGGCAGGUGUGAUGUAGUUGAUCUAGAGAUGUGGGGUGAGCAGGUGGGUCUGGGCAGGUGUGAUGUAAUUGAUCUAGAGAUGGGGGUGAGCAGGUGGGUCUGGGCAGGUGUGAUGUAGUUGAUCUAGAGUUGGGGGUGAGCAGGUGGGUCUGGGCAGGUGGGUUGUAGUUGAUCUAGAGAUGUGGGG